GGAGUUCUCUUGCUGGACUACGCUUUUCCUCACCUUAUCACAUGUCAUCAAGCCUCCUACCCUGGAUUCACUACAAGAAAAAUGGCUAUUAAGGAAGGGAAAAAUGGUCCCUAAAGGUCUGUUUCUGGUCCAAUCGAGACCAGAAAAAUCUGGUCGCCACCCUUCUCUAUUGGCUUCUUCGCUAAAAGUCAACAACGACGAGAUUUGAGAACUGGUCCCUAAAUACUAUUAGGGACCUGAAUAAAUUUGAUCUGUAAAAUACUUUUAGGGACUAAAUUUCUGGUCGCUAUUUCAUGAUCUGUAGCAUUGUAAGGAGUUAUUUAUGGUCCCGUGGUAUUCAUUAGGGACCAAUUUUAUGGUCCUUAAAUUUUGCAUUUGACAACAGAAUCUGGUCACUAAAAGUGAUUGAUGGGACUAUCAAUUUAGUACUAAUAUUUUUCACUCCUAAAACUCUACAAUGAUAUAAAGUUUCUAACAGAAAAUCAAACACAUCUGAUUAAUUUUGAAUUAAAUCCAUCAGCAGAACUAUAUUAGACAAUAUAAAUAUUAUAUUGUUUACACAACCCUUUCAAGAAAUCUAGCAUCUAACGUUAAAGAUAUAAAUUAUUCACCUAACACUAAAACAUUAGAAGAAACAUGAAAACUUGUAUCUUGACUUGCUCAAUUAAACACUUCAAUACCUGCAAAGGAUUCAUGAUACAUUAAUUUAGUAGAAAAUUAUUUUUGUAAUUUUAUAAGUAACACUAAUUUAAACACUCACCACACUUAUCUUUGAGUAUCACUAUAUCAGCUCCAUGCUUAACAUGAGAAGUUUAAAUAAACUUUCAUAAUCAAUGUACUGAAUAUAUAGCUGCAGACGAAGAUCCUUAUUUAAAGCAGUUUUCUCGAUCACAUAUAUGACAAAUUAACCAAUUAAAAAGAUAAACGUAUUCCAAUCAGAUUUACACUACGAGAGCAAUUAAGUCUAUUAAAAAAAACUCAAUGAGUUGUCAGACAAAGAGUUGAUAAAAGAGAUAAGAUACGUGUUUAUAAAUUGAACAAGUCAUUGAUCAAACUAUACUGCCAACUGUAUCACAUCAAAACAAACUAGACUAUAGAACAUUUUUAUCUACUCCAACUAAAAUUGAAUUCAAAUACAAAAGGGAAAAAAAGCCUUGUUGGUAUCAAACAUGAAGCCAUGUUUAACACACUCACACACGUAUCAAGUGUACUUGACUUUUAUCAAUAUCAAAGAGUAAAAUGUAGCGCAACAAAAGAAACCACGGGACGAUAAAACUGAAAUAGCAAAUUUUCUUGAUUAUUUAAGUAGGUUAGUUUCUAUAAAAUGGAUGCAUGAUUACCUAAAGAUAUUUCGGGUUGCAGUUGUUUCAUAUUGCGGCACAGAGAGAUUAUAUUUCUUAGUUGUGUCUUUGUAAGGCUCGUGUAUCAAAAAUCUUAUUAUGCAACAGAAAGAUUAAACAAUACAGAGAACUAAAGAAUGAAAUACAAGAUGAAAAAGAUAUUAACACAAUCAAUCUCAUCAUUGCUAACUUAACUUGUUAAACUAAAAAUUGAAAGUACAAUUUUAAACAAUCUGAUACCUCCCCACACAUAAAUUCAUAAAGGGAAAAAGCUAACACACUAGUCUUAUACAUACAAUGCAAGAUUGUCAGUUGUAUCCGAGUUGUCUACCUCUCAUUUUUGAAUCUGAGAAAGACACUGAAUAUUUUGUAUUUUUUUUUUUAUGAAAAUGAAUUUAACUCAACUACUGAUUUAUACUAUAUCGACUCAACUUUAUCAAAUUCUUCAUUCUCUUUUAAUGCAAACCAUUUUUAAAUAUAUUCCAUAGAGUUACAUGAAUAUCCUCUUCAUAUUAUCAAACUAAUGUUCAAGUAACAACAUAUACUUUUUACAAUCAUCAAGUAAUUAGAUACAUCUUGGAGCAUGACAAUAAGUUUGUACUCAAUAAAAAAUAUUUAAUGAAUCAACAAGUUACUAAAGCACAAACUCAAGGUAUGUGAUAGUGACUAAACUCACCUAAGAAGAGAUUUCUUCAUUUACCGCUUCGAGAAGGAAAGAAUAAUGAAUCAACAGUUUUGAAAGCUAGAUAUUGAGCAAAUUACACAAAUGAAAGAAAAAGACAAUUAGCAUUUAAUCAGUAAGUAAGCCCGCAAAUUACAUGGCACUGUCAUGUCAAAUUCAUCUAUAAAUUGCAUAAAACUUUAGUCCCUGCUAGAAGUUUGAGUUGUAAAUUACUUUACUGCUUUUUGAUUCAAGUAGCAUAAUUUCUUUGCUCACACCAAUUAAGCAGUUAACUAGAGAUAUUUUCAUGCCUGUAUCCUCUGCCUCUUUUUAAAUCUAACCCUAGCUACCAUUUUCAUAUCAAACCCAUUACUCCUAAUUUCAGCCCACACUCCAAAACUAUCGGUAUUAAGAAGAAUCAAUACAGAAGACUACCGUUCUCAACAGUUAAGGUUAAGCAUGACGGAGAAAAGAAAUUUUGUGUUCUAAACCCAAAACAAAAAAACCUGUUUAGAUAGACGACUCUUCAGAUCCAGUUUGUAAAUGUCGUAUCUCCAGCCACUUUCGAGUCUAUGGCCUUUGAGAGAGAAAUUUAGAUUCUAUGGUGUUUGAGUGAGAAACUUUGAAGAGUCAAUCCCUAGGGAUUUUAACUCGAUGUUGAAGAUGGG
rnacentral:lncRNA from 1 species